AAUGGUGUCUAACAAUAUGCAAUAUUCUGUAGACAAGACAAAUAAUAAUUAGCAUUGAUAUUACUAGUAGCCAAAAUCUUCGCACAACAGACGUCGAAACAUUGUAUUCCGACGCAAUUGUUUGUUGUUAAUUACAAAUGUUUACGUACACUUGCUUUGUUUCUUUAUUACAUGUGUAACCCAAUACAUACAUAUUACAUGUACAAGGGAAUAAGGAUCAGUAGGACAUUUUAGCACUAUUGAUACACAACAACACAAGAUCGUUAUCAAUAUUUCACUGCAGUAAUGGAAAACAGCGUUGAUUUCUACAAAAACUUGUAUAACAACGCCCUCGCGGGAAUGACGCAUGUCUCUUGUGCAUUUUAGAUAAAGCAGGAGCCACCACGCCUAAACCUACUGCCCAGGCCUCGCCCGUCGCCCCGCCAAUUGGGAAGAUGCCCGCUUCGACAGGCAUACUUAAACCACAACCAGCGGAUUUACGAGUAUAUUCGUGGGAUCCUUGUGCAAGCUACGAGGGGUCAUACUUUCCUCACCCGACUGAGUGCGACCAAUAUUUCCAGUGCUCCAACGGUGCCUCCAUUCUACAGAAAUGCACAACAGGGCUGCUUUACCAUUGGAGGGAACUAACGUGCGUCAGCAGGUUCAUGCCAGGCGUGCUAUGCCCGGAAGCUAAAAGAGCCCCGCAAAAACCCACGCCUACAACACCUUCUACAACGACUUCAACAACACCGUCCACUACGACGUCAACAACAACGUCUCAAAGACCAACAAAAAAACACAAUUAUGACCGCUUCUACAAAGACGACCAAUACAAUCGUUGUUACCGUUAGCUUCUUUACUGGGCCGAGUACGAUGGAUCCAUUACUGGCAGAUUCUCCUGAGCACAAUACUGAAACCGCACCUGGACCGGAUGCGAAUGCUCUUAUUUUGACAGCCAUUGCUGCUCUGUAACAAUAUAGACCAAAGUAUUCCUAGACGCCAUGUGUGAGCGGAUAUGAUUUGCAACUAUACCCAUUUUCGGAUGAUUGUGCCAAGUUCAUCCAAUGCGUCAACGAAAAAGCACAAGUCAUUAAUUGCUCACAUGGACUUUUGUUUGACUCCGCAAGUAACGCGUGUAU